UUUCCGGGGCUGCUUCAGGAAUGUAAACUAUUCAACAUGGAGACAGUUGAUAAGCUGGAGGCGAUGUUCCAGAAAGCAGAAGCUGAUAUAGAAUAUGUGGAAAAGCGGCUGAAAUUUGACUUCAUGGCCAAUGCGCGAGAAGCGGGCACGUUUGAGGGAAACCCUGUUCAGUUGCUGGAGAACCUGUCGGCGAUCAAAGCGCGGCAUGCGGCCCUGUGCACGCAGGUGGAGGAGAUUGCGGUGGAACAGAAACGAUCAAUGGAUUCAAUACGAGCUCACCUGGACACCACUGUGCAGCUGGUUCAACAGCUGCAGAACACAGCAGAUGUGCAGGUUCCGCCACUGACAAAAGAAGAACAAGAAGCGAGAGACUUUCUCUGCUCAUCCAUUGCCACAUUAAAUGUAGAGGCCGUGCCUACAGAAGAACCUCAAACUCAAGCACAGUCUGAAUCACAGAACGUGUGUGACGAGGUGUCUGAGGGGACAUUUGAGACUGUCCCACGGAAUGUACGUGGUAACUUGAAGCUGAAUGACCUCAACAUGCUCUAUAAGCAGUUAUCCGAGUACUUCUCAGAUAAAGACAGGGGGCCAAUAAGCACUCAGAGGAUGAAGAAGCUGAACAUGAAAGUCAGUGAUUCUGCAUUGAAGACCUUACAGCAUCUUAAAAUUAUCGAGCUGGAUAAAAAAGGACUUGUGUCAUUGCUGGCAAAAGACGGGGAGAAAACGGGGACAAAAUAGACACACAAACAUCACCAAAACAUGUAAAUCAUCCGGUUCCUUCCACCUCUGUGCUGAAGUAUAUCCCUUCUUGCACUUUGAUUGGAUCAACAGUUUAGAAUAGGAAUAACGGCGACUUGAAAACACUUCAUAAACAUCCAUAAAGUUAAAGUAUAUCCAUUAAUCAGAAUUGCAUACAUUUUAAAAGAAAAUAAUUUGAUCAGACCUUAAGCACUAAACUUAUUUUUGGCUGUUAUUUUUCUGUCCUAUUUCCUCUGCAUUAUGUUAUGCAGCCAUUAUUAAACUAUAUCGUGACCUGUUGUGGCAUCAUUAGGUUUGUAUAAGAAAGAAACUUUACAGCACAAGAGGUUAUUUUUUUGUGUGAAGUGAAACGGAUGUUUUAUCAAAUUUCAGAUCUCAGUGAAGCAGAGGAGACUGAAGCUACUGAAUGCAACAAGAAAAUGGCAAUACAUUUCUGUAACAACAACGUCAGAACAUCAAAUAUAAUUUAAAACAUUUAAAAAUGUAUUACAUCUAUUUGUUACGGUCCAUAGUAACAUCAAAGCUCAAAUUGUUGAUGUACAUAAGAACAAGUCUAAAGGCUAAGUUUUUUAUUUGGAACAUUUUCUUACAUUAAACAGUAAAAUCAACAUAAAGAACACAAACCACAUGCCUUAAGCAUCUAAAAUGAAAACUAUUCAGACGCA